rnacentral:misc_RNA from 1 species
ACUCAGGCCACUUUUGUUGGCUUGGUAUUGGGAGAGGAGUGCACCUGCUGCCCUCCCUUCCGAAAUUCAAUGGCGGAAAGCCCCACGUGCCCCGGCGUAGUAAGAUUUUCUUUCGCCCGGAACCUGAGGUGAUCCUGCCGCGAACCCCCAUUUCUUUACAGGUUGACCUCGGAUCAGGUAGGGAUACCCGCUGAACUUAG